GCGCACCAGAAACCCUUUGUGAACUUAUACCUUACUGUUGCCUCGGCGCUAGCUGGUCCUUCGGGGCCCCUCCUUCUGGAGGAGCAGGCACGCCGGCGGCCAACCCAACUCUUGUUUUUACACUGAAACUCUGAGUACAAAACAUAAAUGAAUCAAAACUUUCAACAACGGAUCUCUUGGUUCUGGCAUCGAUGAAGAACGCAGCGAAAUGCGAUAAGUAAUGUGAAUUGCAGAAUUCAGUGAAUCAUCGAAUCUUUGAACGCACAUUGCGCCCUCUGGUAUUCCGGAGGGCAUGCCUGUUCGAGCGUCAUUUCAACCCUCAAGCCUGGCUUGGUGAUGGGGCACUGCCUGUAAAAGGGCAGGCCCUGAAAUUCAGUGGCGAGCUCGCCAGGACCCCGAGCGCAGUAGUUAAACCCUCGCUUUGGAAGGCCCUGGCGGUGCCCUGCCGUUAAACCCCCAACUUUUGAAAAUUUGACCUCGGAUCAGGUAGGAAUACCCGCUGAACUUAAGCAUAUCAAUAAGGCGGAGGAA
rnacentral:rRNA from 1 species